rnacentral:lncRNA from 1 species
CUCAAUUAGAAUCCAAAACCCAAAAGCAGACCAGAAUCUUAGGUAAUUGCUGACUACAACAUCAACCAUCCCUUCCCAAACGAGUGGAUUGAAAUAUUUAAAAUUGUUUCUAACUUGCCAACAAUAGUUAAACAACACAAACAACAUUUUGUUAGAUUUUCACUUCGUAUGGGCUAAGUUUGGUAUUUGUUGGGCAGAUUUUCAACUAUAUGUGUCAUCCGAAGUCUUGCUUAUUAGGUAUAUAAAUAGCGAGUGAUAUGGCUUAGCGAGCCUUCCUCUCACUUGUCAAUUCGUCUGUCAACGAUGGGAUAUAAUUUAGUAUAUACUCAAUUAUUUGGGAUAUGCUGUUUUUAAUGGGCGUUGUCUCGUAUAACGAGUGAUGUGAUCUCGUAGAUUGUUGCAUCUAUUGUUUUUUGCGAAAAAAUUGUAUUGAUAAUCUUAUGCUUGUGGUAGCCAUAUAGAGGUUUAAUCAAUUUGUUAGUUUAUGCAAAUUACCUCCAAAUCUAUGUAUUGGUCACUAGAGCAAAUGUACCUUAGUAACAAUCGUUGUAAUCG